rnacentral:misc_RNA from 2 species
UCCUCCCUCAAAACCCCGCGUUUUGGUGUUGGGCCGCGUCGUUGAGACACACGACGGGCCUCAAAGACAAUGACGGCGUCCGUGGGACCCUCGGUGCAACGAGCUUCUCCGUAAGCACGCCCCGAGCCAAGGUCCCCCGGGCCCGGUCGCCUCAGUUAAUUUUUUCUCA